AUAUUAAUUAUCAUAUAAUAGUAAAGAUUAGAAAACGACAAAAAGAGUAUGAAGUAAAAUUAGUAGGGUAAGGUGUUGAAUUUUAUUAAACAAAACUAUUGUAAAGGUUAAAAUUAAAAUGAAUGUUGAAUGAUUAGGUGAAAAAGAGAUAAGCUGAUUUUUAAUGUUAAAAAGAGAAAAACAAGUGUUGAAUUUUUGAACAAUUGUACAUAGCCUUAUAACAAAAUCGUCAAUUCAUGAGAUGAAAAAUGCCCAUCCUUAUAAGCCCAAUCCAAAAAUGCUUUUUUAUAAUUUUUGGACCAAAAUAUGCCCAAUAAUAUAAAAACUCCAAUUAUUAAUCAAUUAUGGGAAAACAAUAAUAAAGUAUAUCUCCUUGUUAAAGCAUCAUUUUUAAAUGUAUUCACACAUUUAGGUAUUUGUUUCUCAUUCCUAUAUAUUUUUUGACUUUCCUUCUCACGUUUAAAAUUGUCCAACAUUCGUCUUCUUCUACAUGAGCUUCAUCUUCUCUCACUCUUGACCUCAAAUUGAUCUGCUUUACCUACACCUCCUCUGCUUGCUACUAAUUCAAAAUCAAGAUCUGCUAUUUCAAAACUCAUACAAGAGACAACAAAACUACACAUCCAAAAUUUCAUCAACAUGUUUGCUAUUUUCAUCAAAUUUUUGCUUCAUUUUUGCUUUGGUUCCUUAUUUACCAUAAUUAUUAGGGUUUAGCUAUUCUAAAUUAACGAGCGUUUGUAAUUAGAAGAGAUUUUAUUUAAUAAGCAAUUUAGUUUUCUUUUGAGGAUGAAAGUUGAAUUGGGAAAAGCAAGGAGGAAGAAGAUAUUAUACAUGGACAAAAUCGUCAAUCCAUCAGAUGAAAAAUACCCAUCAUUAGAGCCCAAUCCUAUCCUUUUUAUAGUUUUUAGGCCCAAAUCUGCUCAUUACUGCAAAAGCCCUAACUAUUGAUCAAUUAUGAUAAAAAACCGCAAUAAAUUGUGUCCCCUUAUUCAAUUUAUUAAAAGCAUCGUUUUUAAUUAUACUCACAUAUUUAAGUAUUUCUCUCUCAUUACUUUUGACUAUUUCACCAUUCGUCAGUUUUUCUUAUUAUUAAUUUUGAGUUUUUCUUCUCACGCCUCAAAUGGUCUAAUAUUCGUCUUCUUCUACACGAGUUUCAUCUUCGCUCCAUUUUGACCUCAAAUUGAUACCGACAACUCCUUCGCUUGCUUGUAAUUCAAAACCAAGAUCUGCUAUUACAAAAAUCAUACAAGAGACAACAAAACAACCAAACUACACAUCUAGAAUGACAUCAACUUGUUUGUUAUUUUUAUCGAGUCUUUGUUUAAUAUUUUUUUGGAUUCCUUAUACACCAUCAGUAUUAGGGUUUAGUUAUCAUAACUUUU
rnacentral:sRNA from 1 species